GCAAAUAAGCCAUACAUGUUUUUGUUGACCAAACUACUUGCUUGGUGGGCGAAAAAACGCCACCUGCUAGAGGGAGACAGAUUUUCUGCCGAGCUGGGCCUCUCUCUUCCUCUUCCUCUCUGGCCAUUCUAGCAUCGCCCAACGGUCCUCCCGCGCACUUCGCUUCAUUCAUUGAAAAUUAAUGUGCUUCUGUUGUUUCAUCGCCCCCAACUUGCUAUAUGGAUCUAUUGACCACGGUCCACGAUGGACGCACAGCUCAAAUUCCCAACCAACGCGGCUCCGUACCCGUCCUCUAUUCAUUUGAAUGUGUUUACAGUUUACAGAAAUUGUUAGAGCCGAGCUAAGAAUGCGAAAAGUAUGAAAGACACAUAUGGUCCAAUAUUUGUGCGUACACGUUUUGGACGGAUCUUAUAGACCGCUUUACCUUGCAUACCUUUCACCAGGAAACAAUUAGAUAAUUUGUUUUCAUAAAUAAAAAAAAUGCAACAUCAAGUAAUUCCUGGUUUGAUCUAGAAGGAAGUCGCAGCCUUGUGGAGCACCUGUCGCUCGUGCUCCCGCUUCUCAGCUAGCUGCUUCAGCACCAGGGCCUCCUGAGACUGCAGAGAGAGACGAGGGAGAGAGAUGCUUCCAGCCUCUUCUGGAGCUCGUCCGGGGAGAGGUCCUUCUUGGGAGCAGAAAGCAGGGGCUGGGGCCUGUCCGGAGAGAGGUCAGCGGGGGCCUUCAGGAUGAUCUCGAAGGCCUGGCCGGAUGCCCGCUUGUUCAGGGACUUCACCUCCAUGUCUGUGGAGAACAGCAGGACCUGAGCCCUAGGACCAUGCCUCAGGACUACCUGACAUGAUGACUCCUUGCUGUCCCCAGUCCACCUGGCCGUGCUGCUGCUCCAGUUUCAAAUGUUCUGCCUUAUUAUUAUUGGACCAUGCUGGUCAUUUAUGAACAUUUGAACAUCUUGGCCAUGUUCUGUUAUAAUCUCCACCCGGCACAGCCAGAAGAGGACUGGCCACCCACAUAGCCUGGUUCCUCUCUAGGUUUCUUCCUAGGUUUUGGCCUUUCUAUGGAGUUUUUCCUAGCCACCGUGCUUCUACACCUGCAUUGCUUGCUGUUUGGGGUUUUAGGUUGGGUUUCUGUACAGCACUUUGAGAUAUCAGCUGAUGUACGAAGGGCUAUAUAAAUACAUUUGAUUUGAUUUGA